CAGAGUUGUAAAACUCCCAAACCUUUGUGAACAUACCUUUGUUGCCUCGGUGGCCUACCCGGUAGCUACCCUGUAGCUACCCUGUAGUCUGCCGACGGACCACGAAACUCUGAUUAUUUUAAAUCUCUGAGUAAAUACUUAAUAAGUUA
rnacentral:misc_RNA from 1 species